rnacentral:rRNA from 1 species
CGUAGGUAACCUGCCCCGGAGCGGGGGAUAACAUUUGGAAACAGAUGCUAAUACCGCAUAACAACGAAAGCCACAUGGCUUUUGUUUGAAAGAUGGCUUUGGCUAUCACUCUGGGAUGGACCUGCGGUGCAUUAGCUAGUUGGUAAGGUAACGGCUUACCAAGGCGAUGAUGCAUAGCCGAGUUGAGAGACUGAUCGGCCACAAUGGAACUGAGACACGGUCCAUACUCCUACGGGAGGCAGCAGUAGGGAAUCUUCCACAAUGGGCGCAAGCCUGAUGGAGCAACACCGCGUGAGUGAAGAAGGGUUUCGGCUCGUAAAGCUCUGUUGUUGGAGAAGAACGUGCGUGAGAGUAACUGUUCACGCAGUGACGGUAUCCAACCAGAAAGUCACGGCUAACUACGUGCCAGCAGCCGCGGUAAUACGUAGGUGGCAAGCGUUAUCCGGAUUUAUUGGGCGUAAAGCGAGCGCAGGCGGUUGCUUAGGUCUGAUGUGAAAGCCUUCGGCUUAACCGAAGAAGUGCAUCGGAAACCGGGUGACUUGAGUGCAGAAGAGGACAGUGGAACUCCAUGUGUAGCGGUGGAAUGCGUAGAUAUAUGGAAGAACACCAGUGGCGAAGGCGGCUGUCUGGUCUGCAACUGACGCUGAGGCUCGAAAGCAUGGGUAGCGAACGGGAUUAGAUACCCUGGUAGUCCAUGCCGUAAACGAU